GAUGAACGCUAGCGGCAGGCUUAACACAUGCAAGUCGAGGGGCAGCACGAUGUAGCAAUACAUUGGUGGCGACCGGCGCACGGUUGCGUAACACGUAUGGAAUCUGCCCUUUACUGGAGGAUAGCCCGGAGAAAUCCGGAUUAAUACUCCAUAACUGUCGAGGUGGCAUCACCUUGAUCUGAAAGCUCCGGCGGUAAAGGAUGACCAUGCGCACGAUUAGCUAGUUGGUGAGGUAAUGGCUCACCAAGGCUACGAUCGUUAGGGGCCUGAGAGGGUUA
rnacentral:rRNA from 1 species